CAUGGCUGUCGUCAGCUCGUGUCGUGAGAUGUUCGGGUUAAGUCCCGCAACGAGCGCAACCCUUAUCAUUAGUUGCUACGCAAGGGCACUCUAAUGAGACUGCCGGGUGACAAACCGGAGGAAGUGGGGAUGACGUCAAGUCCUCAUGGCCCUUAUGGGUAGGGCUUCACACGUCAUACAAUGGUCGGUACAGAGGGUUGCCAAGCCGCGAGGUGGAGCCAAUCCCAGAAAGCCGAUCGUAGUCCGGAUUGUUCUCUGCAACUCGAGAGCAUGAAGUCGGAAUCGCUAGUAAUCGCGGAUCAGCAUGUCGCGGUGAAUACGUUCCCGGGUCUU
rnacentral:rRNA from 1 species